rnacentral:rRNA from 1 species
UACAGAGGUGGCAAGCGUUGUUCGGAAUUACUGGGCGUAAAGGGCGCGUAGGCGGCCUUCUAAGUCAGACGUGAAAUCCCCCGGCUUAACCUGGGAACUGCGUCUGAUACUGGGAGGCUUGAGUAUGGGAGAGGGAUGUAGAAUUCCAGGUGUAGCGGUGAAAUGCGUAGAUAUCUGGAGGAAUACCAGUGGCGAAGGCGGCUUUCUGGUCUGUAACUGACGCUGAGGCGCGAAAGCGUGGGGAGCAAACAGG